rnacentral:rRNA from 1 species
GAUGAACGCUGGCGGCGUGCCUAACACAUGCAAGUCGAGCGAUUCUCUUCGGAGAAGAGCGGCGGACGGGUGAGUAACGCGUGGGUAACCUGCCCUGUACACACGGAUAACAUACCGAAAGGUAUACUAAUACGAGAUAAUAUGCUUUUAUCGCAUGGUAGAAGUAUCAAAGCUUUUGCGGUACAGGAUGGACCCGCGUCUGAUUAGCUAGUUGGUAAGGUAACGGCUUACCAAGGCGACGAUCAGUAGCCGACCUGAGAGGGUGAUCGGCCACAUUGGAACUGAGACACGGUCCAAACUCCUACGGGAGGCAGCAGUGGGGAAUAUUGCACAAUGGGCGAAAGCCUGAUGCAGCAACGCCGCGUGAGCGAUGAAGGCCUUCGGGUCGUAAAGCUCUGUCCUCAAGGAAGAUAAUGACGGUACUUGAGGAGGAAGCCCCGGCUAACUACGUGCCAGCAGCCGCCGUAAAAC